rnacentral:lncRNA from 1 species
AGAGAAUUCGCUACCUCUCAGAGCCAUUGAUGCUUUGAGCUAUCUUUAUCCACAGGGCACAAAUGUUUACUGCUGUGGUUUACAAGAAAAGGGCUACUAACUUAUUUAAAAAACAACCAACCAACCAACUUUUAACUAGGGUAAGCCAAGCACCUUUCUGAAAGUGCUUCGUAAAAUGGGGGGAAACAGAUUUUUGAGUUUCAAAGUGUUUGCUAGUUCAGAAGAACACACCUUUUCUUACCUUGUAGCAGCAAUGAAGUGUCACAUAAAGUUUGCCGCAAGGAAGGCCAACUGUCACCUUGGGUCACCUAUGGUCACAGUCACUACUGAGAAUGACUUGGAACUCAGCAGAGUGACAGGAAGGAAGCAGCAUCCAUUCCCUAACCCAUGUUCACACCCAUGGCGCUGUGCCCUGAGGCAGAGUUAAGAUCUGGAUUAAGAAAUCGAUUUCUAACAUGAUUAAGACCAUCCUACAAUAUUUUCUUUGGAAACUGAUUUAGCCCGGGAUAUUUCAAAGAGAGACAAGAUAAGGCCUAUUUAUCUUGUCUAAGCGAAUGGUAUUUGUAUAUUCAUAAGCUAUUUUUGGUAAGAAUUUUAAAUCUUUUAGCUGACUGCCUACAGGGCAUCAUGACCUUUGCCUUCCUUAAAAAACACAGUUUAAAUUGUACAAACACUUUAUAAAAAGCUAAUUAUUGAUGUUAGAACAUGACCCCCCACAAUGCUGUUUGCUAACCACUUGAACCCCGAAACUGACAUCCAUGAGCUUAACCUUUGUUACAUUGUUCUUUUUGAUGUAAUUUGUAGAAAUGUUUUUUAGUUCAUAAUGGAAAAUGUAUGUACCCUGAAAAAUUACUUAUUUUGUUUAAACUUUGGUACAAAGGUGUUGGGCAUUUUCUUGGGGCGGGGGGGAUUACAAAAGAAGUUUGUCUCCCACAUCAAAAAAUGUUCAAAGAAAUUAAGUAUUUAUUAUAUUUUUUGCAGAUGUUUCCAUACAAUUCACAUAACCUUUUUGUAAAGAGAGAUGAAGAAAUGGAUUAAAGAUUUUUAAUAUUUGAAAUGGUAAAUAGAACUAAUUUAUUUGUAAUAUAUUUCUGUUAUUUAUAGAUGUUUCCUUAAUGUUUUACUGUGCAUUACCACUUUAAUUUAAGCCUUAUCCUUGUGAAUUUAC